GACGAACGCUGGCGGCGUGCCUAAUACAUGCAAGUCGAACGCACAGUUGAUACCGUAGCUUGCUACACCAUAGACUGUGAGUUGCGAACGGGUGAGUAACGCGUAGGUAACCUGCCUUGUAGCGUGGGAUAACUAUUGGAUACGAUAGCUAAUACCGCAUAAUAUUAAUUAUUGCAUGGUAAUUGAUUGAAAGUUUCAAUUGCACCACUACCAUAUGGACCUGCGUUGUAUUAGCUAGUAGGUUAGGUUACGGCUCACCUAGCCGACGAUACAUAGCCGACCUGCGAGGGUGAUCGGACACACUGGGACUGAGAGACGGCCCAGACUCCCACGGGAGGGAGCCGGAGGGAAGCAUCGGCGAUGGACGAAAGUCUGACCGAGCAACGCCGCGUGAGUGAAGAAGGUUGUCGGAUCGUAAAGCUAUGUUGUAAGAGAAGAAAGGGUGUGAGAGUGGAAAGUUCACACUGUGACGGUAGCUGAACAGAAAGGGACGGCUAACUACGUG
rnacentral:rRNA from 1 species